AUAACAUUUAUUACACUUGAAAAAAUAUAUAAUACAUAAUCUCAUAGAUAACAAUGCAUUUCAUAUUUGCAGGAACGUACGUGUGACCGUUACCAGAGCCACGGUUUAUUUGGGGGCUUACCGGUUACUGGAUAUAAUUCCUAUAGAGCAUGGGACUUUUUACAGAACUAGGUACGGCUUUCAAGUGUCAGCCCAGUUCCCGUAGAUGGAGGACCAUCCCAACAACUACUCCAUAUGCCAGGAGCUCAUUAGACUCCUCCACAAAGCACGGUGUAGUGUUCACCUAAAUAAAAAUCUAUCUCGCAUGA